GUGGGGAAUAUUGGGCAAUGGGCGAAAGCCUGACCCAGCAACGCCGCGUGAGGGAAGAAGGUUUUCGGAUUGUAAACCUCUGUCCUUGGUGACGAAGGAAGUGACGGUAGCCAAGGAGGAAGCCCCGGCUAACUACGUGCCAGCAGCCGCGGUAAUACGUAGGGGGCGAGCGUUGUCCGGAAUGACUGGGCGUAAAGGGCGUGUAGGCGGCCGAUUAAGUCUGGAGUGAAAGUCCUGCUUUCAAGGUGGGAAUUGCUUUGGAGACUGGUUGGCUUGAGUGCGGAAGAGGUAAGUGGAAUUCCCAGUGUAGCGGUGAAAUGCGUAGAGAUUGGGAGGAACACCAGUGGCGAAGGCGACUUACUGGGCCGUAACUGACGCUGGGGCGCGAAAGCGUGGGGAGCGAACAGGAUUAGAUACCCGAGUAGUCC
rnacentral:rRNA from 1 species